UCUGGUUGAUCCUGCCAGUAGUCGUAUGCUUGUCUCAAAGAUUAAGCCAUGCAGGUCUAAGUACAUGCCGUAAUAAGGUGAGACCGCGAAUGGCUCAUUAUAUCAGUUGUGGUUCCUUAGAUCUUCGGUUACACUUGGAUAACCCUGGUAAUUCUAGAGCUAAUACAUGCAUCCCAGCACCAACCUUCGGGGAGGUGUGUUUUUAUUAGCCCAAAACCAAUCGUUGCCUUCGGGUGACGAACUCUUGGUGACUCAGAGUAACUUGGUUCGGAUCGCAUGGCUUUGCGCCAGCGACGCAUCUUUCAAAUGUCUGCCUUAUCAACUUGUUGGUUGGUUAAAUGCCAACCAAGGUGGUAACGGGUAACGGAGAAUCAGGGUUCGAUACCGGAGAGGGAGCCUGAGAAACGGCUACCACAUCCAAGGAAGGCAGCAGGCACGCAAAUUACCCACUCCCGGCUCGGGGAGGUAGUGACGAAAAAUAACAAUACCGGACUCUUCCGAGGCUCGGUAAUUGGAAUGGGUACACUUCAAAUCCUUUAACGAGUAUCUAUUGGAGGGCAAGUCUGGUGCCAGCAGCCGCGGUAAUUCCAGCUCCAAUAGCGUAUAUUAAAGUUGCUGCGGUUAAAAAGCUCGUAGUUGGAUCUCAGUCUCGGUCGGACGGUCCGCUUUAUAGUGGUACUGGACGAAUCGGACAUUCAGCCGCCUUUCUCAGUAUGCUCUUUACUGAGUGUAUUGGGACAGUGGCGCUUUCACUUUGAAAAAAUUAGAGUGCUCAAAGCAGGCUCACGCCUGAAUCUUCGUGCAUGGAAUGAUGGAAUAGGGCCUCGGUUCUAUUUUGUUGGUUUCCGGAACUCGAGGUAAUGAUUAAGAGGGACGGACGGGGGCAUUCGUAUUGCGACGUUAGAGGUGAAAUUCUUAGAUCGUCGCAAGACGAACUACUGCGAAAGCAUUUGCCAAGAAUGUUUUCAUUAAUCAAGAACGAAAGUCAGAGGUUCGAAGGCGAUCAGAUACCGCCCUAGUUCUGACCAUAAACGAUGCUGACUAGCGAUCCGUCGGCGUUACAACACAUGACCCGACGGGCAGCUUCCGGGAAACCAAAGUUUUUAUGUUCCGGGGGAAGUAUGCGUUGCAAAACUGGAACUUAAAGGAAUUGACGGAAGGGCACCACCAGGAGUGGAGCUUGUGGCUUAAUUUGACCCAACACGGGAAAUCUCACCAGGCCCGGACACUAGCAGGAUUGACAGAUUGAUAGCUCUUUCUUGAUUUGGUGGGUGGUGGUGCAUGGCCGUUCUUAGUUGGUGGAGUGAUUUGUCUGGUUAAUUCCGAUAACGAACGAGACCCCGUCCUACUUACUAGACCGAGGAUCCUCUCGUUCUCGCGUCUUCUUAGAGGGACAAA
rnacentral:rRNA from 1 species